UCCCAUGAUUUUAUGGGGGGACUAUGUAUAAACACAGCUGUAAUUUCUACACGGUGAAACCAAAAUGUAUAAAAAUGGCCUUUAUUAAAAUCUGACAAUGUGCACUUUAACCACAUGUGAUUUUUGUUUUCAAUUACAAAUCUCAAAUUGUGGAGUACAGAGGCAAUGAUGGGACUUUGUCCCAAACAUUAUGGAGGGUCCUGUGAUUCUGUCCAUUUGAGCUGUUUGUUUCCUGUGUUGGAUUCCAUACUGGAUUGGAAAUGGCAGACAUGGACUACUGUUUUUUUCUAACAUCGCAGAAAAUAUUAAGACUUUUGUGUAUGAAAACAGUACGGAACUAAUGAACCCAGAGAAUAUUUUAUUAGUUCACUUUAUACUAAACCCAGUAAAGCACUUGGACUCUCAACCCAUUUAAAUUCUUUAAAGGAGAAAUAUUUGCCAAAGAUUUAUGUAAAAAAAAAAGAUUAAGGAAGAGAGUGUGGAAGAAUUUGAAACCUGUCAUAAAAGUGAUAUUUGCACAGAAUGGAAUUUUAUGCUGAUAUUUGAUAUGAAGUAAUGCCAAAUGAGAGCUGGUUUGAGGGAUUGUAUAUAAAGAGAGACUUGUUCUGGACUUUCUGGUGUGUCUGCCUCAACUGUUCUGGACAAACAACUCGAUUUCCCACCUGUAUGUAGGUCAGAGAUCAAUGUAAAGACCCCGGGGAUAUUCCCUCUCCCCAGAAGGAACGAGGAUAGAGUUCGAAGAUCGACACAAAAUGCUGGACUAACUCAGCAUAUUAGGCAGCAUAAGGUCAUAA